rnacentral:rRNA from 1 species
GUUAAGGACUAAGCGUACACGGUGGAUGCCCUGGCAGUCAGAGGCGAUGAAGGACGUGCUAAUCUGCGAAAAGCGUGGUAAGGUGAUAUGAACCGUUAUAACCGGCGAUGUCCGAAUGGGGAAACCCAGUGUGAUUCGUCACACUAUCGUUAACUGAAUACAUAGGUUAACGAGGCGAACCGGGGGAACUGAAACAUCUAAGUACCCCGAGGAAAAGAAAUCAACCGAGAUUCCCCCCAGUAGCGGCGAGCGAACGGGGAGCAGCCCAGAGUCUGAAUCAGCUUGUGUGUUAGUGGAACGGUCUGGAAAGUCCGACGGUACAGGGUGAUAGUCCCGUACACCAAAAUGCACAGGUUGUGAACUCGAAGAGUAGGGCGGGACACGUGGUAUCCUGUCUGAAUAUGGGGGGACCUCCUCCAAGGCUAAAUACUCCUGACUGACCGAUAGUGAACCAGUACCGUGAGGGAAAGGCGAAAAGAACCCCGGCGAGGGGAGUGAAAAAGAACCUGAAACCGUGUACGUACAAGCAGUGGGAGCACCUUCGGGUGUGACUGCGUACCUUUUGUAUAAUGGGUCAGCGACUUAUAUUCUGUAGCAAGGUUAACCGUAUAGGGGAGCCGCAGGGAAACCGAGUCUUAACUGGGCGUUAAGUUGCAGGGUAUAGACCCGAAACCCGGUGAUCUAGCCAUGGGCAGGUUGAAGGUUGGGUAACACUAACUGGAGGACCGAACCGACUAAUGUUGAAAAAAUUAGCGGAUGACUUGUGGCUGGGGGUGAAAGGCCAAUCAAACCGGGAGAUAGCUGGUUCUCCCCGAAAGCUAUUUAGGUAGCGCCUCGUGAAUUCAUCUUCGGGGGUAGAGCACUGUUUCGGCUAGGGGGUCAUCCCGACUUACCAACCCGAUGCAAACUACGAAUACCGAAGAAUGUUAUCACGGGAGACACACGGCGGGUGCUAACGUCCGUCGUGAAGAGGGAAACAACCCAGACCGCCAGCUAAGGUCCCAAAGUCAUGGUUAAGUGGGAAACGAUGUGGGAAGGCACAGACAGCCAGGAUGUUGGCUUAGAAGCAGCCAUCAUUUAAAGAAAGCGUAAUAGCUCACUGGUCGAGUCGGCCUGCGCGGAAGAUGUAACGGGGCUAAACCAUGCACCGAAGCUGCGGCAGCGACACUAUGUGUUGUUGGGUAGGGGAGCGUUCUGUAAGCCUGCGAAGGUGGCCUGUGAGGGUUGCUGGAGGUAUCAGAAGUGCGAAUGCUGACAUAAGUAACGAUAAAGCGGGUGAAAAGCCCGCUCGCCGGAAGACCAAGGGUUCCUGUCCAACGUUAAUCGGGGCAGGGUGAGUCGACCCCUAAGGCGAGGCCGAAAGGCGUAGUCGAUGGGAAACAGGUUAAUAUUCCUGUACUUGGUGUUACUGCGAAGGGGGGACGGAGAAGGCUAUGUUAGCCGGGCGACGGUUGUCCCGGUUUAAGCAUGUAGGCUGGUUAUCCAGGCAAAUCCGGAUAAUCAAGGCUGAGGUGUGAUGACGAGGCACUACGGUGCUGAAGUAACAAAUGCCCUGCUUCCAGGAAAAGCCUCUAAGCAUCAGGUAACAUUAAAUCGUACCCCAAACCGACACAGGUGGUCAGGUAGAGAAUACCAAGGCGCUUGAGAGAACUCGGGUGAAGGAACUAGGCAAAAUGGUGCCGUAACUUCGGGAGAAGGCACGCUGGUGUGUAGGUGAAGUCCCUGCGGAUGGAGCUGAGACCAGUCGAAGAUACCAGCUGGCUGCAACUGUUUAUUAAAACACAGCACUGUGCAAACACGAAAGUGGACGUAUACGGUGUGACGCCUGCCCGGUGCCGGAAGGUUAAUUGAUGGGGUUAUCCGUAAGGAGAAGCUCUUGAUCGAAGCCCCGGUAAACGGCGGCCGUAACUAUAACGGUCCUAAGGUAGCGAAAUUCCUUGUCGGGUAAGUUCCGACCUGCACGAAUGGCGUAAUGAUGGCCAGGCUGUCUCCACCCGAGACUCAGUGAAAUUGAACUCGCUGUGAAGAUGCAGUGUACCCGCGGCAAGACGGAAAGACCCCGUGAACCUUUACUAUAGCUUGACACUGAACAUUGAGCCUUGAUGUGUAGGAUAGGUGGGAGGCUUUGAAGCGUGGACGCCAGUCUGCGUGGAGCCAACCUUGAAAUACCACCCUUUAAUGUUUGAUGUUCUAACGUUGGCCCCUGACCGGGGGUUGCGGACAGUGUCUGGUGGGUAGUUUGACUGGGGCGGUCUCCUCCCAAAGCGUAACGGAGGAGCACGAAGGUUAGCUAAUCCUGGUCGGACAUCAGGAGGUUAGUGCAAUGGCAUAAGCUAGCUUGACUGCGAGCGUGACGGCGCGAGCAGGUGCGAAAGCAGGUCAUAGUGAUCCGGUGGUUCUGAAUGGAAGGGCCAUCGCUCAACGGAUAAAAGGUACUCCGGGGAUAACAGGCUGAUACCGCCCAAGAGUUCAUAUCGACGGCGGUGUUUGGCACCUCGAUGUCGGCUCAUCACAUCCUGGGGCUGAAGUAGGUCCCAAGGGUAUGGCUGUUCGCCAUUUAAAGUGGUACGCGAGCUGGGUUUAGAACGUCGUGAGACAGUUCGGUCCCUAUCUGCCGUGGGCGCUGGAGAAUUGAGGGGGGCUGCUCCUAGUACGAGAGGACCGGAGUGGACGCAUCACUGGUGUUCGGGUUGUCAUGCCAAUGGCACUGCCCGGUAGCUAAAUGCGGAAGAGAUAAGUGCUGAAAGCAUCUAAGCACGAAACUUGCCCCGAGAUGAGUUCUCCCUGAGACUUUAAGUCUCCUGAAGGAACGUUAAAGACGAUGACGUUGAUAGGCCGGGUGUGUAAGCGCAGCGAUGCGUUGAGCUAACCGGUACUAAUGAACCGUGAGGCUUAACCUU